GUAUUACUCCCUCCGUCCCAUAUUAACUGACUCAAGUUUGCUCAAAUAUGGAUGUAUCUAUGUCUAAAAAGCGUCUAGAUACAUGUAAUAGAAAGUCACUUAAUAUGGGACGGAGGGAGUACUAA
rfam:Brachypodium distachyon strain Bd21 chromosome 2, whole genome shotgun sequence.